rnacentral:tRNA from 1 species
GGCCUGGUGGUCUAGUAGUAUGAUUCCUUCUUAGGGUUUUCCGAAAUCGCUUGGAGGAGGUCCCGGGUUCAAUUCCCGGCCAGGCCC